rnacentral:rRNA from 1 species
UACGUAGGGUGCUAGAGUUGUCCGGAUUUACUGGGUGUAAAGGGUGCUCAGGUGGAUUGUAAGUCAGAGGUGAAAUCCCAAAGCUUAACUUGGUGCUGCCUUUGAUACUGCAAGUCUUGAGUUUGAGAGAGGGCAAUGGAAUAUCUGGUGUAGCAGUGAAAUGCGUAGAGAUCUGGAGGAACACCGAUGGCGAAGGCAGCCUCCUGGGCUAGUACUGACGCUCAUGCACGAAAGCGUGGGGAGCAAACAGG